CCUACGGGAGGCAGCAGUGGGGAAUAUUGGGCAAUGGGCGCAAGCCUGACCCAGCAACGCCGCGUGAAGGAAGAAGGCUUUCGGGUUGUAAACUUCUUUUGUCAGGGACGAAGCAAGUGACGGUACCUGACGAAUAAGCCACGGCUAACUACGUGCCAGCAGCCGCGGUAAUACGUAGGUGGCAAGCGUUAUCCGGAUUUACUGGGUGUAAAGGGCGUGUAGGCGGGACUGCAAGUCAGAUGUGAAAACCACGGGCUCAACCUGUGGCCUGCAUUUGAAACUGUAGUUCUUGAGUACUGGAGAGGCAGACGGAAGUCCUAGUGGAGCGGUGAAAUGCGUAGAUAUCACGAAGAACUCCGAUUGCGAGGGCAGCCUACUAAACUGCCACUGACAUUGAUGCUCGAAAGUGUGGGUAUCAAACAGGAUUAGAUACCCGAGUAGUC
rnacentral:rRNA from 1 species